AUGCUCAAGGCUUUUGUUUCGGUGGGUCAGAAGCCCGACGUGAAGAAAGUUCUCAGGGACAUUUUCCUUGAGCUUGACAAGGAAGGCUACAGGAAAUCCAAUGCACAUACAUUGGAUGAAAAGCAGCUCAUAUUAGAACUCCGAGAAUUACUUGUGAAUAAGAGGUACUUUAUUGUUAUUGAUGAUAUAUGGGAUGUAGAAGCAUGGAAAAUAAUCAGUUGUGCUUUGAAGGAUAGUAACUGCGGAAGUAAAAUAAUCACAACUACUCGCAGUUUGGAAGUUGCCGCAAAGUCCGGUGAGGCUUACCAGCUAAAGCCACUUUCCCCCGACAACUCUGAAAACUUAUUGUAUAUGAGAUUAUAUGGUGGUAAAAGCAAAUGCCCUUUUGAUCAUCCGCUUGAGAUAUCUGAAAAGAUUUUACAGAGAUGUGGUGGUGUACCAUUAGCUAUCCUUACAAUAGCUAGUCUGUUAGAUGGUAAAGAGAGAGAGGAUUGGUCUAAGGUUUAUGACUCAAUUGGUUUUGGGCACGGAAAAAAUCAAGAUGUAGACAAUACAAGAAAGAUACUGCUAUUUAGCUAUUAUGAUCUACCCUAUUAUCUGAGACCUUGUUUAUUAUAUCUUAGCAUAUAUCCAGAAGACUACACGGUCGAAAAAGAAACUUUGAUCUGGAAGUGGUCAGCAGAAGGGUUUAUCAAGGAGGAACCGGGGAUAAGGCAAUAUGAGCUUGGAGAGAGAUACUUCAGUGAGCUGGUGAAUAGAAGUAUGAUACAACCCAUCUGGGGUGGUUAUGGCUCAUGUUUCGUGACUGGUUGUCGUGUCCAUGAUCUUGUGCUUGAUAUGAUAUCUCUAUUGUCAAAUGAAGAGAAUUUUGUUAGGGUAUGGGAUGUUAAUGAUCAAAGGAUAUCUUGCCAAAGUAAUGCUCGUAGGUUAGCCAUCCAAAAGAUAGUCUUGGAGCAGGAUGACUCUCUGGCUAACAUGUGCACCCCACAAUUGAGGUCAUUCAGUGCCAUCGGAUGUGAUAUUUAUGUGAUGCCAUCACUUACAAGUUUUGGAGCUUUACGUGUCCUAGAUAUGGAAGAUUGUAGUUUUAAUGGAGAUGGCAGUUAUCAUCUGGACCAUCUUGGUAGCUUAGUCCAUUUGAGGUACCUGGGAUUGCGGAGGAUGCCAAUAGAUAAGCUACCAGAAGAAAUAGGGAAUCUGAAGUUUUUGCAGACACUGAACUUGAUAUAUAAUGGGAAUGGGAUAAAAGAAUUGCCACAAAGUUUUGGUCUGUUAAGGCAACUCAAGCGCUUGCGUUUUGAAGUCGCUGAAGGAAUAGUUGGGAUGCAUUUGCUGGGGAACCUAACAUCAUUGGAAGAUCUACGGUUGACAUUUGACACUUGGUCUCCUGAGUUUGUAGUAGAGCUGCGCAAGCUGACGAUGCUGAGGAAUCUCAACCUAAGCAUUAUCUCUCACAAAGGCGUGGAUGAUAGCCAGGUGAAAGCUCUGGUGAAGUCUCUUGGCAAACUGAAAGAGAUCCAAAUUCUGUACAUUUACUUUAUGGGUUAUGUGAGUAUUGGACCCCAAGGGUGGGAAGGUUAUGUACCACCUCGACAGCUCCGUGAAUUCUUGAUAAGAACGGAGAAGGACAUGUUGCCGGCGUGGAUAAACCCGUCACUUGUUCCGAACCUCACCAGAUUAUGGUUCAAUCUGAAGGAAGUGAAGGCACGGGAUAUGGAGAUCCUUGGGAGUUUUCCAGAGCUCGUUACUCUACGGUUGACUGAUCUGUUUCUGGGGUCGCAGAACUUUCUCCCAGACGUCAUGGGGGGGUUAUUCCCCAAGUUGAGGUACUUCACUACACCUGCACCGCUGAGGUUUCUGCAGGGAGCGAUGCCGAGCCUUGAAUCCCUUCAAUACUGGUAUCUCGAAGUGGAUCGGUUGAAGCGUGACAGCAGCUUUGUGUUUGAGUUUGGUAGCUGGAAAAACCUCCGUUCACUCCAGAAAGUGGAAGCUACCUUCCGUUUAGGUCCAGCUCAAGAGAAGCAGAAUGAAGCUGUGGUUGCGCUGGAGCUCGCAGCCAACCAACAUCCCAACCGUCCUAACCUUACAGUCGAGAUAUACUGA
rnacentral:rRNA from 1 species